UACAGAGGGUGCAAGCGUUAAUCGGAAUUACUGGGCGUAAAGCGCACGUAGGCGGCUUUCUAAGUCAGGGGUGAAAUCCUGGAGCUCAACUUCAGAACUGCCUUUGAUACUGGGGAGCUCGAGUCCGGAAGAGGUGAGUGGAACUCCGAGUGUAGAGGUGAAAUUCGUAGAUAUUCGGAAGAACACCAGUGGCGAAGGCGGCUCACUGGUCCGGUACUGACGCUGAGGUGCGAAAAGCGUGGGGGAGCAAACAGG
rnacentral:rRNA from 1 species